rnacentral:rRNA from 1 species
AUGACACGUUUUGGUUUUGAUCCGGUGUGGGUCGCGAUGAUAAUGAGAUGCGUCAGCUCGGCACGUUUUUCUGUAAAGUUAAAUGGUGGGCUAUCCAGGAGCUUUAUACCGUCUCGGGGUUUAAGACAAGGGGAUCCGUUGUCACCGUAUUUGUUUCUUUUCUGUGUGGAGGGAUUUUCAGCUCUACUCAAGAAGGCUCAAACUGACAAACAGCUUUCCGGGGUGAAGUUUGGGAGCACUGGCCCCCAUGUAACUCACUUAUUGUUUGCAGAUGAUAGUAUAGUUUUCCUUGAGGGAACCAAGGAGAAUAUGGAAACGCUAAAACAGAUUCUUGAGAAGUAUGAAAAAGCAUUCAGACAGAAGGUAAACUUGCAGAAGUCCUCGAUCUUUUUGGGAAAAGGAAGCCAAGAUGUGAUGAAGGAUCAGAUAAAGCAGAUUGUGGGGAUUCAAUCCGAGGCUCUUAGUGAACGAUAUUUGGGCCUCCCAACACUGGUUGGCAGGUCCAAGGAUGUCACUUUUAAACAUGUAACGGAGUGUGCUAAGGGCAAAGUGUGUGGUUGA